UCAUAAACUAAACUUUUGAUUAUAAAUGUUUCUAAUGUGGCAAUACAUUACCAUGUGGCAACACUAGUCGUUGCAGUUGUACAAAAUUGUCUGGUGGUACUUAGCAUUGUGUACGAAGAGAAAUAAAAGGCUUUCUUUCUAAAUCAAGUUUAAUUGAAGCUAGCCAACGACCUAAAAUAAAAUACAGUCCAUUUCUCUAAACAAAUACUCGACAAAACCCCGAUAAACAAAUUCCCGAAAUUAUUCCCAAAGUCGAAAUGAAUGCUAACCUUAAACUAACCACGAAUGUCAUAAAACCACGCUAACGCGUUGCCAAGGCCAAAAAACGCUGAGAAAUGUACGCUUUUUAAAUUUCAAUAUUCAAGAAUCCAAUACAUGCUUUGGUACAGCAUGGAACAAUUGUUUUUCAUAUUUCAUAUAUUAUGUACAUCUAUCUAUAUAAAUAAAAAUGAAUUGCUGUUCGUUAGUCUCGCUAAAACUCGAGAACGGCUGAACCGAUUUGGCUAA